GAGAUAAAUAAAAAUAAAAUAUAUAUAGUGUUAGUCGGAAAAACGUUUCCGUUUUCUUCAGAUCCGGUACCAGACAUCCCUGAGUAUAGGGUGAAGAGGGAAGACAGUGGCUGUCCAAUACAGACCCGAUUUUAAGUUGUAACCAAAUGCCACUCUUCUCUCUUCGUCAUUCCCCUUCCCUUCCGACAUCCACUUCGAAAACGAUCAAGCCCCAUAAAUCCGGUUUUACCCCUUCCUCCUCUCGUUAUCCCUUGCACUUCCUCAUCUUUUCACUUGUUUCCCUCCUCAUCGGCCUUGCUGGCACAAUAUUCGCUAUCUCCGCUAUCCGCCGGCCCCGGCCCUUACCUGUUUUCCGCUGCGGUAGAUCCGAAGACACUUUUCGCGCAUUCUACUCGAGCUCGGGUUCUAACAAGCUUGGAGAUGAUAACGCGGCGCUGAAUGAUCGGCCCAAGCUUCUUGGGUUCGUUGGAAUUCAAACCGGGUUUGAUUCCGUUGAUCGGCGUGCUGCCCUUAGAAGCACUUGGUUUCCUUCUGACCCAGAUGGGCUUUUGAGGUUAGAGCAAGCUACUGGUUUAGCAUUUAGAUUUGUAAUAGGGCGAUCAAACGAUGCAAAGAAGAUGGCACGACUUGAGAAAGAAGUUGAAAAGUACAGAGAUUUCAUGCUGAUAGAUGUUGAGGAAGAAUAUCUAAGGCUUCCAUACAAAACGUUGGCAUUUUUCAAGGCAGCCUAUAAGCUUUUUGAAGCAGAUUAUUAUGUUAAGGCUGAUGAUGACAUCUAUUUGCGUCCAGAUCGACUUGCAACUCUUCUCGCAAAGGAAAGAACCCAUGCAAUGACUUACAUAGGAUGCAUGAAGAAAGGACCAGUGAUCACUGACCCUAAAAUGAAGUGGUAUGAAAAAUCUGGGCAUCUGAUUGGAAAUGAGUACUUUUUGCAUGCUUAUGGUCCUAUAUAUGUUCUUUCAGCAGAGGUUGUGGCUUCCUUAGCAGCUGCUAGAAAUAACAGCUUUCAGUUUGAGAAUGUUCAACAAUGAGGAUGUCACUAUUGGUUCAUGGAUGCUUGCUAUGAAUGUUCACCAUGAAGAUAACCGCGCAAUUUGUGAUCCUCGAUGCACUCCAACAUCCAUAGCAGUUUGGGACAUUCCUAAAUGUUCAGGUUUAUGCAAUCCUGCUAGCCGUAUGAGGGAGCUUCACAAGAUUGAUAUGUGUUCCAAAAGCCCCACAUUGCCGGCUGACGAAAAAUAGUUUCUUCAUUUCAUUUGUGACAUGGCAAGAUGGGCUGUUUUGUUGGAGAUGCUUAGUUUGGUGGGAAAGCAAUUGUAUUCUUGAAGUAGCUUUCAGAAGAAAGGUGGAGAGCUUCCACCCCUGAACUAUUGAUGUAAAAAUUAGUGUACUAUAGGUGAGCAUUUCAUUACAUUAAAGUUCUUAAACAUAUGACAGUCAGUAAAUAUGUAGAAUAUCAAUAAAAGAUCUACAUCAACGGGACCAUCAUUUUGAUCA